rfam:TPA: Bos taurus chromosome 7, whole genome shotgun sequence.
UGGCUCAGAGAUUAAAGCGUCUGCCUGCAAUGCGGAAGACCAGGGUUCGAUCCCUG